rnacentral:lncRNA from 1 species
AGUUUGGUAAGAUUAUUCCAAACUCUCCGUUAGGUUAGGUUUGGUAUCCUUACCGGUUUAUGCAUGGUUAUUGCUUGGUUGCUUAUUUGUGAAUUCUGUUGAUUGAAUUCUUGUGACUAAUUUGUAACCUGGAAGCAUAUUUACCUACUUUAUAUACCUGUGUUUCGUGAACGGAUUAUUUCACUGUUGUGCUUCAUUUCUAAAAAUUGUUUUUUAACUCGGUACUCAGUUUUAUAUUGAUCAUCUGGAAAAGAAUUUUUCAAAACCUUUUCUGUUGUGUCCACGAGUACAGGCCACUCUUUUAUAGAAUCUAUAAUGGGUUCGAGGGUCGAAUUAUCGCAAUUCGAUGGAAAGGGGAUUACUCGAUAUGGAAACAGAAAAUGAGGGCCAUUUUGGUCCAACAGAGAGUUGCUAAAGCUCUUGAUGAUCCCGCUACAUUUUCUGAUGAGUUAAAAGCUAAA